rnacentral:rRNA from 1 species
GAUGAACGCUGGCGGCCUUCCUAAUACAUGCAAGUCGAGCGAACAGACGAGGAGCUUGCUCCUCUGACGUUAGCGGCGGACGGGUGAGUAACACGUGGAUAACCUACCUAUAAGACUGGGAUAACUUCGGGAAACCGGAGCUAAUACCGGAUAAUAUAUUGAACCGCAUGGUUCAAUAGUGAAAGACGGUUUUGCUGUCACUUAUAGAUGGAUCCGCGCCGCAUUAGCUAGUUGGUAAGGUAACGGCUUACCAAGGCAACGAUGCGUAGCCGACCUGAGAGGGUGAUCGGCCACACUGGAACUGAGACACGGUCCAGACUCCUACGGGAGGCAGCAGUAGGGAAUCUUCCGCAAUGGGCGAAAGCCUGACGGAGCAACGCCGCGUGAGUGAUGAAGGUCUUCGGAUCGUAAAACUCUGUUAUUAGGGAAGAACAAAUGUGUAAGUAACUAUGCACGUCUUGACGGUACCUAAUCAGAAAGCCACGGCUAACUACGGG